ensembl:lncRNA
CGCACGCGGAGGAAGACACGCCACAUGUAUAAUUAGACCUUCUUCCGUCUUCACCACCACCACACACAACACAGGACCGUCCCAGUAUAAGUCCAACGUCCCACACUAUCGGCUCCCAGCGCCGACUCACGCGCUGCCAGUUUAAAGGUAUGGAGAAAGUGACGUCACUAUCCGCCUCGCCCUCCACAGGUGGUCAAUCUUUGCCGCUCCCUUUGUUGUGACUUCAGCCUUUUAAAGUUUAAACCACCACGACGGUGGGUCGAUGCAGUUAAUCGUUUGUUAAAAAAUACAAUUAAAGAUGAAUAAUAAAAGUAAAGAAAUACAUUUUCUUUGACGUAGGCUAUAAGAGGAAUGAAUGAAGCGUUAUUAAGUGGGAGUAGGUGAUAACACGCACAGUUUUGUGAAUUGAGCCUACUUUAAUUUAAAAGUUCCGCGGUGGUUUUUCUUCUGGGUCCUAGGCUCCUACUUGGAGUCUCACCUCUAGGAGAGAGGAGGGAAGGAGGCGGGAAGGAGGAGCUGACGGAGCAGCCAUAGAAGAGGAGACCUCAGCGCGCGGAGCCGCACUGUCCUCCACCAGCAGCCCACGCGGACAGACCCACGGUGACCACGGGAACCUGCCGCCACGUACGGGAACAGGGAGGGGACACAUCAUGCGGAACGAGACGACGUCUUACGACGUGACGCCCGAUCGUGUUGAUUAACUCCUGUAUCGCACCUCUCCGGAAACGAGAGCGCCCCAUGGAUGUAUAGCCGAAUAAACACUAUUUGUUGGUUUUAAACACGAAGGAUAAUACCGUCAUUUAGAAAAAGACUUCCAUACUUCCUUGAAGACCUCCACCUCCUCCUCCGCCAUGGACAGCAGGGUUGCGGUGACGUGCGUGCUGGCAUGCGUGCUCGUGCUCGUGCGGACCCAGGCACCUGAAGCAGGUAACAGGUGGGGGGGCUCGAGCUCAGGUAAUGCUCGUGGGGGAUUACGAGACACAGACACGUUCAAGCUCUAUUCGCUUAUCUUAUCGUGUUAUUCCUACAGUCACGGCUGUGUGUGCAUCGAGUAUAUUCAGCCCCUGGCUAUACAGCUAAACUUGUGUUAAUGGUGAAACCAGAGACGUGCGUGUGUGUGUGUGUGUGUGUGUGUGCGUGUGUGUGUGCGUGUGCGUGUG